CGGAGGUUCGGGCGUCCUAGAAGGUCCUACUGCAGAGCUGGCGUAGACGCUCGGCGGCCAUUUUAUCGCCGUGCGCCCUGCGAGCGGGAACGGAGUGGGCGGGGCUAUCAAAGGCGCGACGUUUCCAGGGAGACAGCCUAGCUGAGGCGCCGCCCGGGCCGCGUUAAGGGAUGUUCGCCGCGGGGAGGCGGGCGCCUCUGGUCAGGGGGCUCCGGCUCUACAGUUGCUGCCCGGGGGGCUGUGUCCCAGUUCCGCCCCCAUCCCCCUUCAGCUGGUGGCUGUCACACCAGCCGUGGCGAGUCUCUCCUCUGCCCGGAGCACUGGGGGUCGCUCUUGGUUGGCCAAUGGCCGCCCAGAGGAAAGGGGUGAGGAGCCCCGCUCUCGCCGCGGGGGACGGGGGAGCCGGCGCUGUGCGGCAGAGGGGCCGCGCUGUGCGAGGAGAGCCGCGGAGAACGGUGUUGUUCAGGUACCGGCCCGGCCGGCAGCGUCCUUAGACCCGGUUAGGAUCCCGCGUCGCCGCGCUCGCUGCCCUCUUCCUUUGGGGUUCUUGCUCUGCCCUCAACAGCUGCCAGCUGGUUCGCCCCUGCUCAGUGGGCGCUGGUGACUGCAGCUGUCAUGGACCAGUAGCCCGAGGAAGGUAAAAAUAGGCAUGAAAUACAUUCAAUAGCAAACCACUGGGAGUCUGGAAGAAAUUAAUGACAGCUCUGUAUUCCUGAAGGGCAAACCUGUACAAAGUGAGUAAUGGUCAUGAAAUGUUGUUUUGCAGGCCUCUGAACUAGGAAAGGUAGGGUUGUAAUUAGUGCUUGUGUGUAGUGCCCUUAUAUGCUCCAGUUUUUAGUUCUCAUUAUGAAUCUCUUUAAAACUGGAUGCUUUCUAUGUCUCAUAGCCUAGUUUUAGAGGGUGCAUUAGGGGGUGUUCAGAAGUCAACUUGCGACAUUUUCUACACUGAAUAGUUCAGAAUGAAAGGGAUGUAGUGUGUGAGCAUUUAGCACUAUUUGGAUAGAAAUGCUUUUUUUUGUGGGACACCUCUCCAUGGGAUGGUUAGUAUAAUAACCAGACUAUAUUUUAAGAGGAAAAUGUAUGGUGCUGCUUUACAUCUGUGGGCAUAUGUAGCGCUAUAUGUCCAGUAAAGACAGCUAUUGAACAACUGACUACUUUACAAGGCAUCAUCCACUGAUGGCUGCUAUGGGUUCAAGAGAACUAUCAUUGAGCUCUUAGUUAAAACCACUGCCUAGAUGUUCAAAUGUAAAACAUGUACUAAAGGCUUCUCUAGGAGAUGAAAAAUAACAAAGUUCACAUGUUCAGUACAGGGAUGUCAGAAUUCAGCCAUGCACACUUCCUACUGAGAGGUUGUGGCAUCAGGAAAGCAAGAUUUUUUCAUACUUAAUUUGUAAAUCAUGAUACUGUAGCAGCCAGUAUGGGCAGUUUUUCUACUCUGCUAAAGAACACUACCACCAAGGCUAGUCAGCAUAUCACAAACUCAACUCCACUGGUGAAAUCCUGGCCCCACUGAAGUCAAUGGAAGUUUUUUCAUUGUCUCACUGGGGCCAGGAUUUCACCCCUGGUGUUUGCAACAAAACCUAAUGCUGUAAUGUAUUUGUCUCUUCUCAGACUACAGGAGUCUGCUAUGACGAAUAUACUCUGGUAUUGAGGGAUGAGUUUCUGCUCUGCCUGACUCUCCUUUCUUGUUCUAGUGAACCGAGAUACCUCGCACCUGCUUUUUGCUUCAAACUAGCUUUUUAAUGAAAUAAGAGAACAAAACAAAAUACGCCAGCAUAAAACAGGAAAUUCAAUGGCUAAACAAAGUCCUGCCAUACAACUUAUAAUACAAAAAGAUUUUUUCUGUUUAUCUAAAGAUAACUUAGCUAUAGCAAAUGGGAAGAUGUACAAUCUAAUGAGCAGGGCAGAGGCUGGGAUGUGUGUGUCAGCUGGCUAUAUGAUUCAGUGCUUUCCUUCUACCGAGGACUGAAGCAUAAGAACCUUGAGCAAUUUAUCUGAAUGAAGCUCUGUUCUUAGAAAAAAGAACCUACAUCACCAAAUUGCAGGACUUUUGCUGCCUACGGAUAGUGACUACAUUUUGAUUUCUACUUCAAACAGCUGACUGCUCUUCAAAAUGUCUCAUUUGGCAUAGGAAUGCUCCUAGUGUCAAGAUCACCUGACAACAGCAAGUUCCAUACUGGGUUGGCUUGAAGAGGUGCUUACAAAUUGACUAACAAUUUGUUCCAGGAACUUUUCAGAUUCCGCCUUCUCUAGUUGUUUCCUGAAGAUUUCCUUCAGCUGGAAAGUUCAAGGAGAGAAAUCAUAUUAGUAGGUGUGCUUUGAGGAAUUUUCCAACAUGAAAACUGAGUCUUUAAGCCACAACCCACAUGGAGAGCAUCAUCCCAAUGGGAGCUCUUGGAGCAUUAUGCAAGGACAUCCUGGGACCUUUGACAAGGUGCAGAGUGCUAUCCCCCAGUUCUAGGGAGCCUCGUACUAGCAGUGGUGUGAAUAUAGUCCUUGCACUCCUGAACACAAGGGCUGCAAUGAUGUCUUUUAAGUAGCACCAAGGGACCCCAAGCAGGAAUCAGGGCCCCCUUGUACUAACAAAAAUUAUGAAACCUUGCAACAACAGAGAUGGAUGACAAGGACCAUAUGUCAGUCUUGGAAGAGUUCACCUUCCUAAAGUCUUUGUGGGUGUGACCAUGCACAGUUUUUGCUAAACACUUCUUUGUGGGCACCUGUGGAAUACAUUCAGAAAAACAUGUUCUUAGAGAAGCACAGGAAAAGGCUGCCAGAAGUCUUUACUUGCAAACAUGAAGUGGAGGAAGCUCCGGAUAUUCUGUACUGAAUAAUUAAUUCCUCAUCUCACUGUCACCAGAAAGCUGCGGUGAAAGCUGGGGGAAAAGUAACAUUUUUGCACUCUACUUUUGUUGACAGUAAAAAGAGGCACACCAAACAGUUAUCAAUACAGUACAUGCGGAGAGGAUCCUUAGUAAGCUUAAUGGCAUUUAUUUUUAAAUACUUCAAAUUGAAUCCUGAAGUAGAAACAUUUUGAGAAAGAAUCAGGAGGAGGAGAACAGGCAUAAAUAUGGGGAAUAAACGAAGAAUGGCAAGAAGAACAUGGUUCUUUUGGUCUCUUGGAUCCACUGAAACUUUAACAGGAAGAGUUUGAGAGCAGUGAUGACAAAGUGCUAUGAAAAUUGAAUGAUCAAAAUGUCAUGUGUCCAACAGGAGGAUGUUGGGGAAUGAAUUAGGGGAGAAUCAAGUGAUUUUUUCCCUGCCAGUGAGAAUCAGUUUUUCCAUCAAACAGAAACAGCUCAUACACUGCCCACAUCACUUACAUUACUUGUUGUUUAGAUAGUGAGCUCAGACCUGUACUAGUCUCUGUGAAGUCUCAUUGGAGACAUGGUUGGUAAUUUUGUGGUAGAACAUUACCAGUGACUGAGGUGGCUCUGCUCUCAUUCAUCUGCCCACUCGCUGCCCACACCAAGUCUGUGCAUCAGUGUCCCAGAGUUAAGUGAUGCCCUGUGACACUGCUAAAGCUGCAUUGUUCACUUCCAGCCACAGCAGGGAAACAGUGAGUCAGCUACACAGAUGAAAAUCACAGACAGAUUUGGUAAACAACUGUGCAAACAGGUCAAGUCACAGACAGCUGGAUUUACACGAAAACAUCCAUCUGCUUUUUUUGCAAAAAAAAUCAGUCAAGAUAUAGAGACAGCAUCUGUAUUUUUAGGUGUAGAAUGGAGAUACUCAGCUUUACAUUUAUUUUUUAAUUGGCUAUAAUGUAGCUUUGUGUAUACUCUCAUUACUUGCUCCCUUGACAGACCUUUAACAGCACUCUAAUGUCCCCAUACAACCCACAAUAGGCAUCAACAAAGUUGCUAGCUGUAUGGCAUACAUUGGCAUCAUGUCACAGUGAUUUAUAAAAAGAUACAUGAUUUGCCUUGAUCUGUUCCUGUGAUAUUUCUGCCAGUCUUCUAACCCCCCCACCCUUGUUAUUAAGCAAUUGACGAAAAUCAGGAGCAUUACAUGCUAAUACAGAGCUUCAUGUGACAGCAGCAUUGCAGCUACUGGCAGGACAGUGCUGCACCACAACCACCCUGUCAUGGUGGUUGUUGGGAAGAGAAGGCUAUGUGGCCACUAGAGGAUACUGCAUGUGUGUGGGCGCGCAUGCAUGUGAGUGGGACUUAAUAUAGUUUCUCUCUUCAAUUUUCCAUUUGGGGAUUUUCUUCCCCUGCCAUAGGAAAGGGCCGAGGUGGUUCCCAAAGUCAGAGCAGAAAGGGUCGGGGGAGUUACAGCUGGGAGAUGUGGAAGCCAAUCCUGCUUUGCAAGGUGCAGUACACUGUCACAGGGAGUUUCUAUGCUCGAUGCAGGAAGGGCUAAUACAGCACAAUGAAUCAGUUGCAGCCUAUUGUUAAACAUAAGCCUACAGCUCUAAAAUAAAGACUUUGAAGAGAAUAAGGAGAACAGGGAAGAAUACAAUCAAUGCAAUAAUUCUGGAUAAAUGUUCAUGAGAAUUCUACUUGGAUGCCUCUUAAAUAAAUAUCUAUGAAAAGUGCUAAGUGAUAAGAGGGAGAUAGUAUUAUUAUUACCUGAAAACAAAUUUGAAUGAAAAUAAUUUAACAGGAGAAGCUCAUUUAUAUGUCAAUUGACUCCUACUAACUAUAUGAAAAGCAGGGCUUCCUGGGAAAGUACAAACCAUUUCCUCUUUCCUACUAUGCUAUGGCUGUUAAGGCUACCUUAACAUUCAGCGCUAAAUGUACAUUUCAAAGUAAGAUUUUAAGGAAGUGAACCAAUCCUACACAAAACCCAAUCUAUUCCCACCCUGCUGUGCUUCCAUGAUGUUUAUUUUGAUCUUGCUCAGAGAACUAGACACCAGAAUGAUGUGUCGCUAGGAUACCUUCCAAGCUUAUAUCUCUCUCUUGUGCUACUGUGUGAUGCUUUGCAUCUACCGGCUAUUGGCACAAAGCAGGGAGAGAAAAAGAAGGGAAUGACAGGUGGAGAAGCAUGUACAGAUAUAAAAAGCAGGAGUAUUUAUGAAGCAAAAGGAGAAUUAGACUAGAAAUUGCUGCACCUUGAAGUGCUGUAGUGCAAGGUAGACAAUUCUUUUGGACAAUGUUGAAAAUUUCAGAUCUGUAUUGGAAAUUUCAGGACAAAGCCACCAGACCCCAGUGCAAAGAAAGGGGCACAGUGAGGGAGAAAAUAGUAAAUGAACUGUUGUACCAACCAACUUACCUGCUUCUCGAUAUCUUUAAUUAAUAGAGGAUCAAAUCCUUAAGGUGCACAUGCAAAAGUGUGUGUGCUAAAUCUCAUUAGUAUCACAAGGUCUGGGUUUGCAUACAUGCAUAUAUCUACAGUCAUUCACUUACAUACCUCCAUGAUGGGCACACAUUCUACAUACAUAGGGUGGAUACAAAUAAAUUAGAUUGGCUAGACAGGAAGAUAGGCAGAAGAGGCCGGAGAAAGAUUUCAUGGUCACCUGUACUCCUUACUUUCAGGUAUUUGUGAGUUUAAGUCAAACCUUAAUGACAUAUGAAUGUUUAUUUCAUAUUUACUGAUCAACAGAACUACCAAUUAAGCAGAUCCAUUAUCAAUCAUUUCUAUAUUAUGCACACUUCUAUUGCAUCCACCACUGCAGUCCUCCUGGAUGGUGAAAGGGACUUGCUGGAAGGUCGUGAUGGUUAAAGCAUGACCUCAUGCAGACCUACUAGUUCCUCAGAGAUCCAAACAUCGAAAAAAGCUGAGGGAGUUUCUGCACAUCUUACGAAGGAAGCAUGAGGCCCAAGUUCCUGCGUUUUAUAUCUUGAUAUCUAACUAGGUACGUAUAUGGCCGCCAUCACUAUAGCAUCCAAGUGCCUCACAAACAAUCACUUCUCCACCUCAUAGGCAUAUAGGUUAUUACUCCAUGUUACAGAUGGGUAACUGAAGCACGAAAAAGCCAAAGUUCACACAAGAAGUUUGUGACAGAGCUGAGAAUUGAACCCAGGUCACCUGAAUCCCAGUUCAAUGCAAGACCAACCUUAUUCUCUUCUUUGUAAUACAAGAUAGAUAGGCAGAAGAAAGGCAGUAUAAAGAUAUGGGCUGGGUAAGCAAUAACCUAUACUAGGAGGUUUGGAGGAGGGCUGAGAGACAUCGCCAUGAAACAAACAACUACAAAGAGCACAGUAUCGAGGAUUUAUGGCACCAGUUUAGUGUUCUAUGAGGAUGAGGACUAGUUCUCCUUAUUGGAACUGUGUUAGGGCUUGGCUACACUUGCGAGUUACAGCGCAAUAAAGGAGCCCCGGGCGCACUAACUCACUACCCGUCCACACUGGCAAGGCACGUAGAGCGCUCUGACUCCGCAGCUACAGCGCUGCUGGUACUCUGCCACGGCAUCAGUAUGGACACCCUGGUCUGUUAUUGCACUGUGAUCGGCCUCCAGAAGUAUCCCACAAUGCCUGUUCUAGCCACUCUGGUCAUCACUUUGAACUCUACUGCCCUGCCCUCAGGUGACCAACAAUCAGACCCGGCCCGUUAAAUUCUCUGGGAAUUUUGAAAAUCCCCUUCCUGUUUGCUCAGCCAGGCGUGGAGUGCUCUCAGAGAAUCUUUCCAGGUGACCAUGCCUCCACGCGCCAGGCAAUGCCCAGAAUGGAGCAAUGGCGAGAUGCUGGACCUCAUCAGUGUUUUGGGGGGGAGGAAGCUAUCCGGUCCCAGCUGUGCUCCAGCCGCAAGAAUUAUGAUAUCUUUGGGCAGAUAUCAAGGGCCAUGAUGGAAAGGGCCAUGACUGGGACACACUGCAAUGCAGGGUUAAAGUACAGGAGCUGUGGAACACCUACCACAAAGCCCAAAAGGCAAACAGGUGCACCGGUGCUGCCCCCGCAACUUGCUGUUUUUACAAGGAGCUGGAUGUGAUACUUGGGGGUGACCCCACCUCCAUGCUGAGUACCACCAUGGACACCUCAGAGGCCAGUGCAACAAGGAGGGAGGAGGAGCAGCAAAGCGGGAGCGAGGGGACUGAGGCGGAGGAAAACACCCCGGAAUCCCUAGAUGCAUGCAGCCAGGAGGAAGGUAGCCAGUCGCGGCGGCCGGUGCUUGGGGAAGGACAAACACCAGAGGAGGUUCCCAAUGCAACCUUGAGAUCUCAGCCGUCUGUGUUAUCAACAGCUGAGAGGCUGCAAAGAAUCAGGAAGAGGCCACGUAGAAGCAAAGAGGACAUGCUGCAUGAAGUCAUGCAGCAUUCAACUAAUGAAAAUAAAAAAAGUGCAGGAGUGGCAGGAGAGUGAAAGGAGGGUCCGCCAGCAGAAUGCAGAUCGCCGGCACCAAAGCACAGAGCGACUGAUAAGCAUCAUGGAGCACCAAGAGGACUCGAUCCAGGCGCUCGUAGCCAUGCAGGCGGAGCACUACCGUGCCCUCCCCCCCUGCAGUCCUUGUCCCAUAACUCUUUCCCUUGUGCCACCAUGUCACCUCCAAACCACUUUCCCCAACAUCUGGGUUCUUACCACCACCCACUGCCUCCAACCCCUGUAGCUUCACCACCCAGCCCUGAAAACUACAACCCUUACCCACUGCACUCAACCCCCAUCACCAUGCAGUAUAGUACAGUCAUCCUGAAGUGCAGCACGCAUUGCACAGCACUCCAGACAGGACAUACGCAAAUCUGUGAUUGUACCAUUCCCCACCCCACCCUACCCCCUUGCCCUUUGUGUUUCCCAAGCAGUUGUGUUGUGUUUCUUUUCAAUACAUUGAUUUUUUGAAUUUGAAAACAUUCUUUAUUAUUGCAUAACGUAAAAGAAACCUUAGCCUAGGAAAUCAACAGGCACUGCAAGUCAGUGUAUCAUACAUAGCAAACACAGAUUCCUACUGCACUUCACUCCCGUGUAGGGCAUCACACCAGACAUUACUGUUUGCUUUCAGCCUCAAAUUGCUCCCUCAAGGCAUCCCUAAUACUUGCAGCCCCAUGCUGGGCCCCUGCUCUCUGUCUGUUCAAAUUCAGCCUCCAGGUGUUGAACCUCUGAGUUCCAUGCCUGAGUGAAUCUUUCAUCCUUCCCUUCACAUGGAGGGUACAGCACGCAGAUAUAACCGCGGGGAUGCUGUUAUCGGCGAGGUCCAGCUUCCCAUACAGAGAGCGCCAGAGACCCUUUAAAUGGCCAAAAGCAAACUCCACAGUCAUUCUGAACCAGCUCAGCCUGUUGUUGAACCACUCCUUGCUGCUAUCAAGGCUCCCUGUGUAGGGUUUCAUGAGCCAUGGUAUCAAAAGGUAAGCGGGGUCUCCAAGGAUCACAGUGGGCAUUUUGACUUCCCCUACAGUGAUCUUCUGGUCUGGGAAAAAGGUCCAGGCUUGCUGCUUCCUGAACAGGCCAGUGUUACAAAAGAUUUGUGCAUCCUGCACCUUUCCGGGCCAGCCUGCAUUAAUGUCAAUGAAACACCCACAGUGAUCCACAAGCAUCUGGAGAACCAUAGACCAAUAGCCCUUCUGAUUAACAUACUCGGAGGCUAAGUGGGCUGGUGCCAGAAUUGGAAUAUGAGUCCCAUCUAUCACCACUCUGCAGUUAGGGAAACCCAUUUGUGCAAAGCCAGCCACAAUGUCAUGCACAUUACCCGGAGUCACGGAUCCUCUGAGCAGGAUGCGAUAAAUGGCCCUGCAAACUUACAUCAACACAAUUCCAACUGUCGACUUUCCCACUCCAAACUGGUUAGCGACCGAUCAGUAGCUGUCUGGAGUUGCCAGUUUCCAGAUUGCAAUAGCCACCCGCUUCUCCAACAUCAGGGCAGCUGUCCUAGCGCCGCAGGCUGGGGGCGAGCUCCUCACACAGUCCCAUCAAAGUGGCUUUUCUCAUCCAAAAGUUCUGCAGCCACUGCUCGUCAUCCCAGACUUGCAUGACGAUGUGAUCCCACCACUCAGUGCUUGUUUCCCGAUCCCAAAAGUGGCGUUCCACAGUGGUGAGCAUGUCUGUGAAUGCCACAAGCAAACUCGUGUCAUUUGUGUUACUCGAGUCGAUAUCAUUGUCGGAGUCCUCACUGUCACUUUGUAUCUUAAGGAAUAACUCGACUGCCAAACGUGACGUGUUGGCGAGACUCAUAAGCAUAUUCCUCAGCAAUUCGGGCUCCAUUCCCACAGACCGAAAGGGAAGACAGAGCACACAGUACAAAAACCGUUGAAAGAUGGUGCCAAAUGUGGUUGGAAGGAAAGGAAAUAUGCUUGGAUGCGAACCAAUGCAUCAUAGGGCAUUGGGACAGGAACCAGAAUGCCCCGCACUCCCCACCCCUUUCCCGCAAGCCACAGCUCCAGAAUGGGAAGAGGUGCUCUGUGGGAUAGCUGCCCACAAUGCAUCGCUCCCAAUGCAGCUGCAAGUGCCGCAAAUGUGACCACGCCAGUGCGCUUGCAGCUCUCAGUGUGGACAGACUGCAGCACUUUUCCUACUGCGCUGUACGAAGGCGGGUUUAGCUGACAGUGCUCUACAUCUGCAAAUGUAGCCAUGCCCUUAGAGGCCAUUAACAGGAACCUAAACACACUAGCCAGUAGUGUGCAGAACUCCUUGUUAAAUUUUUAAAACAUACUUGGCCACCUGCUGGGAGCAGCCUUACUUGUCUGCUUUAGGGUAUUGUUGUGAGCUGGCUGAAACCUUGUUAUGGGUUGCUAAAACCACAUUGAGAUUGAGAGGUGUGAACACACCCUUCAAUUAACAUGAGGAUAAGACCCCAUCUAGGACAAAAGUGAAGUACCCCUGAGCCAAUGGUUCAUCAGACUGACACGGUUAAGGCAUGUCAGUUUCAUAGUCAAUGGUACACAAGGGAGCAGUGUGGCCAGCAUCAUGUCCCCCUGCCAUAGUCUGCCCUAACCUGAAGGAGCAGGUACCAUUUUGCAGCUGGGUAAACUGGAAGUCACCUUUCAGCAUGAGAUUGAGCAAGACUCAAACCCACAACCUUCAGUAUUGUAGCUCAGUGCUUUAAGCACUGUGACGAAGUGGGACUGUUCUUAAUGUUCCCUCUGAAUACAGUAGGGGUGCCUCAGUUUCCCCUAUGCAUUUCUUAAGUCUCUAAGUGGUGGGAUAAGGGGGUGUAAUUGUUGCAGAGCCCUAAAGGGCUGGUGUACAUAAAUGGCCGACACUCUGUCUCCUGGCAACUGAUGGCCUGGGCCCUUCCCCCGCAAGGUGAUAGCUAAAGGGUUGAAGAACAAAGGAAUCAGGUGACCUCCUGGCCCGGGAAAGGGACAAAGCCCAGAGGAGGCUCUGGAGGGUGAGUCAGUUGAGGCUGGCUGGGGACAUGGAGUGAAGUGCAGAUGUGGCUGUCUGGCUCACUGCCCCCCAAAAUGGACCCGGCUGAGGGGUCCUGUUCUCUAUACCUACAAGCUCUGUUUUAGACCGUGUUCCUGUCAUCUAAUAAACCUCUGUUUUACAUCUGACUGUGAAGCGGGGGUGCAGGAUCCUCUGGCUUCCCCAGGACCCCGCCUGGGCGGGCUCUCUGUGGGAAGCGCAUGGAGGGGCAGACGAUGCUGAAUGCUCCGAGGUCAGACCCAGGAAGAUGGAAGCUCUGUGAGCUUUUUGCCCUGCAGACAGGUGUUCACACAGAGGAGACUUCACCCGAAUCCUGCCUGGCUUCGAAGGGAGCAGUUCCAGAGCAUCGCCCAGGGACUCCAUGACAAGCACUCAAGUCACUGCACCUGUGAAUCCACCCAGAAACUUUUGCUGAGUAUUGUUUUAGGUAGGGGUGUGUGCAGAAAAACUGAACACAGGAACUGAGAACAGACAGAAUAGAGAGGGAACCAAAAGCAAACAGCAAGAGAGUCAAGCAGUAACCUGUGGGGAUAGUGUGACCCUGAGAAAAGCUAGAGAAAUAAGCUGUCUUUUCGGUUGGCUAGAGAGGCUUGGGGACUGUAAGUUAAGAAACCGCUCCUUUUUGUUCUUGGUUCCUCCGGCAUUUGUAGAAGCAAGACUCCAUACAUUCCUUGUGUGACAUACUGAACCUCAAAAUAGCACCCUGUAACCCCCACAUUCACCACUAGUAUAUGGUUAUGAUAUUUGUACAAAGAAUGCUUUCUAAGAUAUCCUAUGAAAGUCAUGAUUUGCUGGAACUCAUUCUGUCAAAAUAUGUAUAUCAUCAUUGUAUACGGAGUUAUGAGAUUUUGCUACAUGAUUGUUAUUGAAAUAUGUUAUGAGUCAAGGAGAUGCCCAAAGCUAGCUCUCCAGUAGCAACAAAAUGGGUGACCCACAUCCAGACAGGUGUUAAGUGACCAUCACCAGCCAUUGACUGGGGGGGGGGGGGGGG